UACAGAGGUCUCAAGCGUUGUUCGGAUUCAUUGGGCGUAAAGGGUGCGUAGGUGGCGCCGUAAGUCGGGUGUGAAAUUUCGGAGCUUAACUCCGAAACUGCAUUCGAUACUGCGGUGCUUGAGGACUGGAGAGGAGACUGGAAUUCAUGGUGUAGCAGUGAAAUGCGUAGAGAUCAUGAGGAAGACCAGUGGCGAAGGCGGUUCUCUGGGCAUGUCCUGACGCUGAGGAGCGAAAGUGUGGGGAGCGAACAGG
rnacentral:rRNA from 1 species